UACAGGGGGGGCAAGCGUUGUUCGGAAUUACUGGGCGUAAAGGGCUCGUAGGCGGCCAACUAAGUCCGACGUGAAAUCCCCAGGCUUAACCUGGGAACUGCGUCGGAUACUGGAUGGCUUGAAUUCGGGAGAGGGAUGCAGAAUUCCAGGUGUAGCGGUGAAAUGCGUAGAUAUCUGGAGGAAUACCGGUGGCGAAGGCGGCAUCCUGGACCGACAUUGACGCUGAUGAGCGAAAGCUAGGGGGAGCAAACGGG
rnacentral:rRNA from 1 species